CUAGUGUAAUCUAGUGAUUUAAUAAAAGAUACGCCGUGGUUACGCUAUUCUGAAGGACGGCAUUCACAUAGAGCGUAUUGCGCGGAACGUGUAACUAAUACAACCAAUCGUAGAUUAGAGUUUCCGGUGUAUGCUUUAACAGAAAUGCUAAAUAGGACUUGUGAUUGGUUUUCGUAACCUACGCGUCCCGAAUAAUACGCUUCAUGGGGAACCGAUGCUUUGGGUUCCGUAAAACGCGCACAUUUAAAAUAGCUGGCAAAGUGACAAGAUAAACGAAAUAUGUAGAAGACGAGAAGUAAUUGAUGCAGGACAGCUUAGUAUUUUGCAGCAUUUUUAAGAGAAACCUGAUUUAGGCAGCAGCGAGAACGACGACAACAAAUUACUGACGGAUUUCGAGUAAAGUUUGAGUUGCGCCGCGAACUCCGGGCACCUUCUCCACCAUUUGUGUUCAGCUGGAUAUGGAAAGUCUGGUGAUCAACGCGUUGCUAUAGUACCAUCAAUUCACGACAUAGACGAAACCAGUACGUUUGCGGCGUUUCACAAUCAACAGCGUCUGUCCGUUCAGGAUAUGGCAACAGGUGAUGCUGCUGCGAUUAUUCCCAGCUACGCUGAAAUCACCUUUUGCAAUCUGGCGUUCAAGACGUUGUGAAUCAUGGUAAAUGCAUGAUUGAUCGAAGUCUAUUUAUAAGAAUGUAUUAGCAGACUAUCAGCUGAUGCACUUUUAUUGGUAUGUUUGCGCUAUUUGAUAUUUUAUU